rnacentral:rRNA from 1 species
UUACCUACCCUUGACAUGUACGGAAUCCUGAAGAGAUUUGGGAGUGCUCGAAAGAGAACCGUAACACAGGUGCUGCAUGGCUGUCGUCAGCUCGUGUCGUGAGAUGUUGGGUUAAGUCCCGCAACGAGCGCAACCCUUGUCAUUAGUUGCUACGAAAGGGCACUCUAAUGAGACUGCCGGUGACAAACCGGAGGAAGGUGGGGAUGACGUCAAGUCCUCAUGGCCCUUAUGGGUAGGGCUUCACACGUCAUACAAUGGUACAUACAGAGGGCCGCCAACCCGCGAGGGGGAGCUAAUCCCAGAAAGUGUAUCGUAGUCCGGAUUGGAGUCUGCAACUCGACUCCAUGAAGUUGGAAUCGCUAGUAAUCGCGGAUCAGCAUGUCGCGGUGAAUACGUUCCCGGGUCUUGUACACACCGCCCGUCACACCAUGGGAGCGGGUUCUGCCAGAAGUAGUUAGCCUAACCGCAAGGGGGGCGAUUACCACGGCAGGGUUCGUGACUGGGGUGAAGU